GCGACAUUAUCGCUUACAGGUAACACGUAUUCCAAUUUCCAAUGCCUAAAUAAACGCGCUUAUUUAGAGUGGUGCGUUCAAAACGGUUAGUGAUCCAUUCUUGCUUCCGUGGUGGUUCGGGAAAAAACCGAUAAAUGAAAACGUCCUUAUAUCUUACGUGACUUAUUUCUGUACAUAAUUAUGGUACAGAGGAUGGAUAUCGACUUCGAAGAAUAACUUCUAGUGGCGUUAUGUACAAAAUCCAGGAGCCGGGCCGUUGCCUUUUUUUUGCGCUAGACAGACUAAAUUUGUAUGUGGCCAGCGUAUGUAGAAAUGAGGCAAGACGCCACUGCUAAGGGAUCGCCGAGUAUGUAAUUGGUAUUUUUUCGGUAGUGGUAAGAAGGAAUACCUUUGUUUCUGAUAAUUUUAAUUUGUAUCCUGGUUAUGCGCUUUUCUGGCGAUAAUUUAAACUUUUUUCUUGCAGAUUUAAAUUUGUGUGCACAGCGUAUGUCAAAAUAAGGCAGAGCGUUACUGCAAAAGCAUCGUCAAGAAUAGAAUUUCUAUUUUCUGGCUGUUAAGAAGAAAUCCCCAUGUUUCUUAUUACUCUUCUAUGCCCUUUUCUGGCAAUAAUUUUACGUUUAUCUUGCAGAUUCAAUUUUUGUGUGCACAGCAUAUGUGAAAAUGAGGCAGGACAGUAGUCCAAAGGAUCUUCGAGAUGGAAAUGGUAUUUUUUGGUGGUGGAAAGAAGAAAAACUUUACUACUAGUUUGUGUUUUUUAUUACCUUUUCCGCCAUGUUCUGACAAUUUUAAUUUUCUCUUAUGAAAAGAUUCGACUUUAUAUGCAAUAUCAAUGUUUCUCAUUGUUAUAGUUUUUGUCAUUUCUAUGUUUUUUCCUAAUAAUAAUUUUAUUUUUUCCUUAUAUGAUUACAGAUUCGUAUUUUUGUGAACAGCGAAUGCUAUAGAAUGAAGGAGAACCCCACUGCUAAAUGGUCUACGAGAUAGAAAGAGGUAUGAUUUUUUCGGUGGCAGUAAGAAGAAAAACCUAUUAGUUUCAUGUUUUACAAAAGUGUUACAAUUUUUAGAGACGUAGGUUAUUACCAAAAGAAGAAUGUUGAGCAGUUUGUUUAUUUCCAUAAGGAUUUGUGUUGGUUCCGUCUUUCACCCAGUGUUUAUUGCUUGCUUGUUAACUUACCUUACCUGUCUGUGAGAAGCGAUAUGCCUACUUCUAAUCAAGGACCCUUUAGUUUUGUAUGGUGGUUUGUUCUUUUGUCCGCUCGUUCG